UACGGAGGGGGCUAGCGUUGUUCGGAAUUACUGGGCGUAAAGCGCGCGUAGGCGGACCUGCAAGUCGGGGGUGAAAGCCCGAGGCUCAACCUCGGAACUGCCUUCGAUACUGCGGGUCUCGAGUCCGGGAGAGGUGAGUGGAAUUCCUAGUGUAGAGGUGAAAUUCGUAGAUAUUCGGAAGAACACCAGUGGCGAAGGCGGCUCACUGGACUGGUAUUGACGCUGAGGUGCGAAAGCGUGGGGAGCAACAGGG
rnacentral:rRNA from 1 species